UCAGCUGCUUUUGCUUUAUGGAGCCUCCUUCUGCCGUGCACUAGGCCCUUUGCACCAUGAGGACUGUGCUGCAGUGCGACCUGCCCUGCCCACCGUGGAGGAAGAAGACAGUUUAUUUGCAGAAUGGCUGGUUACCGUCUAACUAACACUGGUCAUCUGUCUUCUGCUGACAGCAAGGAGAGAGUUAAUUUUACUCUUCCUCACAAUGUGUCAAAGGUGCCUGUUGCAAAUGCAUACGUGCAGUCAGUCUCAUACAUGCAUCCUGAAUUAGGCAAUUGGCCUUGAAGGUUUUUGCUCCACAGUUCUAGUCAGUUGAGUGACAGGUCUGGAUGAAUUCGAGAAGAAUAUCAUGUUUUUAUGGUCCAAAAAAAUGUCAUGUUUGAGUGAAAUUAAGAGAUUUUUGAGAAAACAAGGACUGGAAAACUUCGUUAGUCAAAUCUUCACAGGUUAUUCCUACCCUUCUUCAGCUGCUUUGGAAAAUUCAAGCCUUAAACAUGCUCCUCACCUUCAUGACUGAAUUUUUGUUUCAGUACUGCAUGUUGGUCUUUCUAGACCUAAAGGAUUUCUACCGGAAUCUACAUCAGAUUUUUUGUWCAUGUUAGCUGUGAAAGACAAUUUACUUUUUAUUUAAUAAUACAGUUUAAAACUAGCAAAACCAGAAAGCAAUGCAAGAUUGRUUACUAUAGAAGACUCUACAUAACUUUCCACCAUAAAGCAAAAGGAGUUAGCUUCCUCAUGCAGGAGCUUUUUGACUAGAGAACUGAGGAGGAGGAUGAACAUUACUGCAUCAUGACUGUGCUCAGAAAAGUUCCUCACUCACAGAGGACAACUGACUUGAUCUUGAAAGUCCAGCGUACGCGAAAGGCUGUCACUCCCUAUUUUAUAGCKGAAUGGAUACCUAGCAGCCUUCCACGGUGGAUCUUACGAGCUAAGGCCUGAAUUAAAUUUGAACAUUACAGCAAUUUCUAAAACAAUUUUUAAAGAGCAAAAAGGAGAAAGAAGAAUAUUUUAUAGAACUGUUCUACUAAGAAAUUCAUUUCACGUGGAUUUUCAGCACAGUCAUUAAAAUGUGCUAUCCCCAGCUCUUUGUGAAAGUUGGAAAAGAGCAGCUCUCAUGCAAGUAAAUGUUAAUGCUACUGAAUUACACAGUGCCUGGUUAAUGCAUGGAAGGGCAGCAAACUGCAGAGCUGCCAACGUUCUUAUCUGUUAAGUAUUCCAGAUUGAGGAAAAAGAAGAAUAAAAGAAAACAUAAAGCAACUGUCAGUGAAAUGAGCAAAGUAGUGCCUGCAUCUUAAGAUGAAACUUUCCACUUUUACACUGAAAAUUAACGGGCCUCAAACUUUACUAUCCAGCUCCUUGCAYGAUGCUAUGCAUUUUUUAGCAAUAAUGUAAAAAUGCUAUUAUGUCACCAUUAUCUCASUUUGGAAAACAAGGUUGCUUUGCACAAAUGCUUUACAUCAAUCUUGUAGUAUAAAAUAUGAUUCAAAAUUGUGUUGUAAAAUAUUAAACUGCUCUUACGACAAAAAAAUAUUUUAAAUCCGUUGGGGUUUUGGAUAAAAUGCUGUGUAUUUGAUCUAAAAUACUUCUGACUGCAGAAGUAUGCUCAGUAUAAACACAGUGAUCUGAAAUCUGGUGUAGAAGAGAAUUGUCAAUGGGAUCACUCUCGGUGAUUUGCUCUUGGCAGAACCAAGGUUUUGUAGAAUCCAGUACAUU